UUGAAGCCACAAGGCCCGUGAUAGCCACGACGCUACCCUGCUGCCGGUCAGCUACUUAUCACAGGGUCGACGGAUCUGGCAAGUAAAAUAAAUAAAAUAAAAAAUCGUAGGAACUAACUUGAGAAGAUACAGACUCCAACCUUCAGUCAUCCUAGUUUCGGGACAUGUGCUGACCUUCAACUAUAGAAGACCUUCAGCCGGUAUCACGAAGACCAGGAAGACCCAAUGCCAGACCAUCACUUGACCUGUUUUGAGAUCCAUGUUGGAAUGGACUCUGCUGGACUGCACAUAGAGAAUCUUUCAACCUACUUCCCUUGAUUUCUUUGUUCUGCUUUCCCUCUCUCUCCUUAUAAAAGCCUCUGCCUGCACUGAGAUGUUCAGAUGGGCUUUGGGACAAGAGUGCCCCAUCUUCUCGAGGUGCCAGCACUUGAAUAAACCUCUUUCCUUUUUUCACCA